ensembl:lncRNA
UUCCUGCACAGCCGAGGAUACACUCAGCAGGGAACCGACUUCCUGCUUUGCACAACCUGAGAGAGGGAAGGAGAGAGAGGUGAAGGAGAGAGAGAGAAGGAGAGAGAGAAGGUGAAGGAGAGAGGGAGAAGGCAAAGGAGAGAGAGAGAGAAAGAGAGAGAUGUGGUGGUAGCAGCAACACUGCAACUAGCACUAAUGUCCCCCCACCACAUCCCAGGACAGAAUAUCUCCAGAAGACAUCUGAUUAGCUCAGAGUCUGGGACAGCUUAGUAAUUCACAUAACACACCCAGCUGGAGAUCACACUGCACACCAUGACACACUGGAUUAUAAACACAUUAUCAGCAUUUCCGUAAAAUGGACAAUUCAUUAAAAACUGGCCAUUGUAAUGCACUGAGCUCCUGACUAAUUUGGAAAUAGUGUUAGAAGUAGAGUUACAGAUCGGGGCACUGAUCACCGCAGAUGAGACAUGGAUGCUGUAAAUAAGGCUCUCUUCAAAAUUCUGGUUGAAUCUGAGGUCAAUGAGUCUAAAGUCAAUUGCUUGUAAUUAAGUUAUAAAACAAUCAUACACUCAAGGCCCAGUUUAUAUUACAAAUACCUCAUGGGUCGGGGUACUCUUUAUGACAUCAAACACCUGCAGCUUUGUUAUAUUUAAAAGAAACCAUGGUCUCUGUAUUAGCAUUUUGAACAAAUUAGCAAUUUAACAUGAUCUGAUGAAACACAACAAUUAUUUGGCAACAGGAGAAGGCCUCUCAUGCCACUGUUGUUUAAGUGUGCAUUCAAUUUUCAAUGAAUCAUUUCGCCAUGGCGACAAGCGCUCCAGCACAGAGGAGGCUGGAUGCUGUUCAGAAACCCCAUCCCUCAAGCUGCUGCAGUCAAAACCAUCGAACAAUGACAGCAUCUCGGGAUCCCUCUUUACACAACACACAGACAGAGAGAUGGAGCAAUGGAGCGAAUUGGAGAGAGAGAGAGAAGAGAGAGAAGAGAGAGAAGAGAGAUAGAGGAGGCAGAGAGAGAUAAAAAAACAGAGACAGAUGGAGUGAGACAGAAAUGUAGAGGUUAAAAAGAGAAUGCGGGAGAGAGCGAGAAAGAGAGUGAGAGAGAAAGAGAGAGCGAGAGAGAGAGAGAGAAAGAAAGUAGAGUGGGGAUAGAGAGAAAGCGAGUGAAAGAGAGAGAGAGGGAGAGAGCGAGAGAGAUAGAGAGCAGAACAAGG